rnacentral:rRNA from 1 species
CCUACGGGAGGCUGCAGUGGGGAAUAUUGGACAAUGGGGGGAACCCUGAUCCAGCCAUGCCGCGUGUGUGAAGAAGGCCCUCGGGUUGUAAAGCACUUUCAGUGAGGAAGAACGCCUGGUGGUUAAUACCCAUCAGGAAAGACAUCACUCACAGAAGAAGCACCGGCUAACUCCGUGCCAGCAGCCGCGGUAAUACGGAGGGUGCGAGCGUUAAUCGGAAUUACUGGGCGUAAAGCGCGCGUAGGUGGCUUGAUAAGCCGGUUGUGAAAGCCCCGGGCUCAACCUGGGAACGGCAUCCGGAACUGUCAAGCUAGAGUGCAGGAGAGGAAGGUAGAAUUCCCGGUGUAGCGGUGAAAUGCGUAGAGAUCGGGAGGAAUACCAGUGGCGAAGGCGGCCUUCUGGACUGACACUGACACUGAGGUGCGAAAGCGUGGGUAGCAAACAGGAUUAGAUACCCUUUAGUC